rnacentral:rRNA from 1 species
AUUGAACGCUGGCGGCAUGCUUUACACAUGCAAGUCGAGCGGCAGCGCGGGGGCAACCCUGGCGGCGAGCGGCGAACGGGUGAGUAAUGCAUCGGAACGUACCCUGGAGUGGGGGAUAACGCCGCGAAAGCGGCGCUAAUACCGCAUAUGCUCUGAGGAGGAAAGUGGGGGACCCGCAAGGGCCUCACGCUCUGGGAGCGGCCGAUGUCCGAUUAGCUAGUUGGUGAGGUAAAGGCUUACCAAGGCGACGAUCGGUAGCUGGUCUGAGAGGAUGAUCAGCCACACUGGGACUGAGACACGGCCCAGACUCCUACGGGAGGCAGCAGUGGGGAAUUUUGGACAAUGGGGGCAACCCUGAUCCAGCCAUGCCGCGUGAGUGAAGAAGGCCUUCGGGUUGUAAAGCUCUUUUGGUCGGGAAGAAAGUGCCCUGCUUAAUACGCGGGGUAUUUGACGGUACCGGCAGAAUAAGCACCGGCUAACUACGUGCCAGCCGCCGCUGUAACAC